UUUUCAUUGGAGAGUUUGAUCCUGGCUCAGGACGAACGCUGGCGGCGUGCUUAACACAUGCAAGUCGAACGGAAAGGCCCCUUUGGGGGUACUCGAGUGGCGAACGGGUGAGUAACACGUGAGUAACCUGCCCUUGACUUCGGGAUAACUUCAGGAAACUGGGGCUAAUACCGGAUAGGAAUCCUUGCUGCAUGGUGGGGGUUGGAAAGCUUCGGCGGUUUUGGAUGGACUCGCGGCUUAUCAGCUUGUUGGUGGGGUAGUGGCUUACCAAGGCUUUGACGGGUAGCCGGCCUGAGAGGGCGACCGGCCACAUUGGGACUGAGAUACGGCCCAGACUCCUACGGGAGGCAGCAGUGGGGAAUAUUGCACAAUGGGCGGAAGCCUGAUGCAGCAACGCCGCGUGCGGGAUGACGGCCUUCGGGUUGUAAACCGCUUUCAGCAGGGGCGAAGCUUGUGGUGACGGUACCUGCAGAAGAAGCACCGGCUAACUACGUGCCAGCAGCCGCGGUGAUACGUAGGGUGCGAGCGUUGUCCGGAUUUAUUGGGCGUAAAGAGCUCGUAGGUGGUUGAUUGCGUCGGAAGUGAAAACUUGGGGCUUAACCCUGAGCGUGCUUUCGAUACGGGUUGACUUGAGGAAGGUAGGGGAG
rnacentral:rRNA from 1 species